UCCCCUAGCCCUGUGCCCAUCCCACUGUGUCACAGAAGACACAGUGUCACAGAAGACACAGUGUCACAGAAGACACUGGAAAGCCUUUCUCUGAGUCACAGUCUGUAUCUUCUAGAAAAGGCUGUCCAUCUUCACCCCAAGCCCACUGGCUCCUGAAACACAACAUCCAGACCCAGUGCAGCUGGACCUGGCCCAGCCUUCAAGAAGUUGCUGACUCAGAAAAGAAGACAUAAGAAAUCAAUGAAACUAAAAUGAAAGGUACAAUGGGAGAAACGGCACAUUAACAAAAUUCCAAUAAUGAAUAUCAUGGUGACAAAGCAGAGAGAAAGCACAAACAAUAGAAGGAAAUGUUGAACGAUUCCCUUUCAUCUCCUAACGGCAGUGUGAGGCUGGACACGUCUACUCCUGGGAAUAGAAUCCAAGGGCAAAAGUCCCUCGCAAUGAGGAGCCCACAUUCUGAGCUGAAAUGUAUGAACACCACAGCUUCAGGGCCAGGCAAAGUUGGGUUUGUGUCCCAGCAGUGCAACUCUCGGGCCUUUGAGCCUCGUUCUCCUCUUCUAUACAAUGGAGCCACUGACACCUCUUUCCUGUGUGUUAGAAACACCACCUAAGAAGAUGUAGAUAAAGUGACUCUGCAAGGUAAGAAUUCCAUAAAUAUUGACUCCCCUCCCCACCACAU
rnacentral:lncRNA from 1 species